rnacentral:ncRNA from 11 species
GUUUCCGUGGUGUAGUGGUCAUCAUGUCUGUCUAACACACAGAAGGUCCCCAGUUCGAACCUGGGCGGAAACA